CCUACGGGAGGCAGCAGUGGGGGAUAUUGCACAAUGGGGGAAACCCUGAUGCAGCGACGCCGCGUGAGUGAAGAAGUAUUUCGGUAUGUAAAGCUCUAUCAGCAGGGAAGAAAAUGACAGUACCUGACCAAGAAGCCCCGGCUAACUACGUGCCAGCAGCCGCGGUAAUACGUAGGGGGCAAGCGUUAUCCGGAUUUACUGGGUGUAAAGGGAGCGUAGACGGUUAUGUAAGUCUGGAGGGAAAGGCGGGGGCUCAACCCCCGGACUGCUCUGGAAACUGUACGGCUGGAGUGCAGGAGAGGUAAGUGGAAUUCCUAGUGUAGCGGUGAAAUGCGUAGAUAUUAGGAGGAACACCAGUGGCGAAGGCGGCUUACUGGACUGUAACUGACGUUGAGGCUCGAAAGCGUGGGGAGCAAACAGGAUUAGAUACCCGAGUAGUC
rnacentral:rRNA from 1 species